rnacentral:rRNA from 1 species
UUGGAGAUUUGAUCCUGGCUCAGAUUGAACGCUGGCGGCAGGCCUAACACAUGCAAGUCGAGCGGAACGAGUUAUCUGAACCUUCGGGGAACGAUAAGGCGUCGAGCGGCGGACGGGUGAGUAAUGCCUAGGAAAUUGCCCUGAUGUGGGGGAUAACCAUUGGAAACGAUGGCUAAUACCGCAUAAUGCCUACGGGCCAAAGAGGGGGACCUUCGGGCCUCUCGCGUCAGGAUAUGCCUAGGUGGGAUUAGCUAGUUGGUGAGGUAAUGGCUCACCAAGGCGACGAUCCCUAGCUGGUCUGAGAGGAUGAUCAGCCACACUGGAACUGAGACACGGUCCAGACUCCUACGGGAGGCAGCAGUGGGGAAUAUUGCACAAUGGGCGCAAGCCUGAUGCAGCCAUGCCGCGUGUGUGAGAGGCCUUCGGGUUGUAAAGCAUUUCAGUCGUGGGAAGUGGUGUAUUAAACUGCCAUAUGUCGUUGAGUCGAGAAACAGGGGUUAACACCG